GCGAGGGUGGCGGAAUUGGUAGACGCGCUAGCUUCAGGUGUUAGUGUCCUCAGGACGUGGGGGUUCAAGUCCCCCCCCUUUCGCACCA
rnacentral:tRNA from 1 species